rnacentral:snRNA from 1 species
AUCGCUUCUCGGCCUUUUGGCUAAGAUCAAGUGUAGAGAGGUUAGAUAAAAUGUCUGAAUGUUAAUGGUUUAAAUCGUGAUUAUUAAUACGAUUCUAGUGAUUUCAAAUCGGUGAUGCAAAUAUAUCGUUAACUUCACAACUUAA